rnacentral:piRNA from 1 species
UCAGUGAAAGAUUCAUUUGAAACCUGGGU